GAGAUCUCAACAGCAGUAGUGGAAGCCAGAAGGCAAUGGAACAGUGGCUUUUAAAAUUUUAAAGGAAAAUGUUUUCCAUCUUAAAAUUACAUAAGCCCAACUGUAAAUCAAGCAUGAGGACAUAUAAUGGCAUUUUUAAAUGUACAAGUUCUCAAACUUUUUUUUUUUGGCUCUUACAGCCUCUUGCAGAAAGCUAACAAAAGAUGAGUUCCACCAAAAGGAGCAGUUUAUUCCAAUAAAGAGGAAGACAUGGGGUAAAAGAAAAGAGAAAUCAGAACAGGAAGAGGCAAAGCAUGGGUGAUGAGAAAUCCCAAGACCAGCUGUGUGCCCAGUGCAGACAAGAAGUCCAGUGUAGAGGAAAUUAGAAGAGAUGGCUCUAGAAAAAUGAAAUUAAUAGAUCACCUGAUGUAUCCGAAAGUCUUGAGGGAAAACUUAGACAAUUUGGGAAAUUUUUGAGUGGAAUUAAUAAAAAGACCAAAAAAAAAUCAAGAGAAAAAGAUUAUUAACUCCAAGAAAAACAAAAGUUUAUUCAGAGACAAAAAAUGAUCAUAAUUUACUACAUGGAUGGCACCACUGUGACUAGCAUUUACAUGUAAAUGGUGAAUAUUGAGGUAAUUAUUCUACAACAGAACUAUUUUGGGAGUUGGGAGAAUAGGAAGAGUCUGCGUGGUGGUAGAGGGGGCGGAAGCAACAGUCAAAUGAUCAGCUUUUGCAGGAGAGAGAUCACCUACAACUGAAAAGGUGAAAAGUAGAAAGACAAGCAGCCAUUCAGAGAAAUGGAGGUAAAACUUCCUUACUUGCUGAAAGUAGGAAAAGUGGUGUCUCUGGGAGGAGAAAAUAAGGGGAAAGGGGGGGUAGAGCCUAUUGUUUUUCACAACCAGCUUGUUCGCUUAAACUCUGGUUAUGUAUAACUUUGGUAAAAACUAAGGCAAGCAUAUGCAAAAAUAUUCAAACUAACAGAGGAAUUAGCAUUGAGAGCAUUUGCUCCCGGUACCAUAAAACCUGGAGUUUCCAACAAAAUUUCUGUCCAAACUGGCUUCAAUUAGGAAAAAAACAAAAAUUUAGACAUAUACUUAAAGUCAUGGGAGUUAGAAAUUACUGGAGUUUUCUGGAACUGCAAAUCUUCUGGAAGUAAUAAAAAUUAAGAAAGAUACUGGAAGCGAAAAGUAGAGUGGCUCAUAUGAGUUUUAAAGAGCUGAAAUUAUUUUAUGAAAAUAUGAAUUGUAAUUGUGGGUUGGCUGAUGUCUUCAGUGCCUAAGCACAAGUGUUUUCACAUAAGGCAAACCAUGUGAUAGGUUAUUUCUCUCCACAGUAAAGGAUGACCUUGGACCCACAUAAGGGUUGAUGUUGAGACUUGGGCUAUAUUUGACCAUUCUUCAAUUUACUUCUAAUUUGUGAUUAGAAAUGAUCUAAACUCCAGACAUGCCCAGGAGUUCUAAAUCUCAGUUUUCAAGAAAGAAAAUUCAGUCUGGCGAGUUACAAGUGACAGGCGGUUCAAGAAGGAAUCGUCAGGGACUUGCAACCCUCUGGGUGGCUGAGAAGAAAAACAAUCACUAAGAACCAGGAAUCAAAGACUAGUUAGUCACUGUCUUAUUAUGAAGUAGUAAGAACAAGAAACUCAUCACACAAACGACUGUCUGGCCCUACAGUGACUGACGGUGCACUCUGCUCCCAUCUCUUGGGGUUUUAGUGAAUUGUACUUUGCCAGCGAAGUUGGGAAAAUGCAUAAAAACAAUCUCAUCCCAUCUUGGGUGGGCAGGACAAUCAGAAAGAAAAUAUAAUAAACCAAUUCAUGGGAAUGGUAGGGGAGCAUCCUGUAACGUUCAAAGCCAGCACACAUGAGCCAGGAUGUCAG
rnacentral:lncRNA from 1 species